rnacentral:lncRNA from 1 species
GGUGAGAAUAAUUGUAUGUAUUGAAAAGGUUCAACUUUGGGGUUGUUUGGGGAAAGUUAAAAGGCAAAAGAAAAGCAUUGAGCUCAAGUGUUGAAAAAGAAAAAUGCAUGAGAAAAGAAAAAGAAGAAAAGAAAAAGAAUGAAAGAUGAGCUCUCAAUGUAAAAAUAAAAGAAAAAGGGAAGAAGUUAGGAAUGAGUGAGAUUGGUUAAAAAGAGAGUUGUUCUUGAACUUUGAAUGUUAAAAUAGCUCUCUUAACUCAAGGAUUUUGUGAUCCAGAAAAACCAAUUUUUCUUGUUAGCCUAGCUUCAUUACAAGCCUUGAAAAAGUCCAUGUGAUGACAUUUUCAUGUGAUAAAGUUGAUUGUUUUAGAUAAAGGGCAAUUUUGUUUUAUGUGACAUGUGAAUAGUUGAGAGUGGAGUGUCCUCUUAAACACUUGAGUGAUUGAGU